rnacentral:rRNA from 1 species
AUUGAACGCUGGCGGCAUGCCUUACACAUGCAAGUCGAACGGUAACAGGUCUUCGGAUGCUGACGAGUGGCGAACGGGUGAGUAAUACAUCGGAACGUGCCUAGUAGUGGGGGAUAACUACUCGAAAGAGUGGCUAAUACCGCAUGAGAUCUAAGGAUGAAAGCAGGGGAGCGCAAGACCUUGUGCUACUAGAGCGGCCGAUGGCAGAUUAGGUAGUUGGUGGGAUAAAAGCUUACCAAGCCGACGAUCUGUAGCUGGUCUGAGAGGACGAUCAGCCACACUGGGACUGAGACACGGCCCAGACUCCUACGGGAGGCAGCAGUGGGGAAUUUUGGACAAUGGGCGCAAGCCUGAUCCAGCAAUGCCGCGUGCAGGAUGAAGGCCUUCGGGUUGUAAACUGCUUUUGUACGGAACGAAAAGCCCCGGGUUAAUACCCUGGGGUCAUGACGGUACCGUAAGAAUAAGCACCGGCUAACUACGUGCCAGCAGCCGCAGUAA